GACGGAGGGGGCAAGCGUUGUUCGGAUUUAUUGGGCGUAAAGGGCUCGUAGGCGGACUGGUAAGUCUGGCGUGAAAUCUCCACCACUCAACGGGGAGGGGCCGUCGGAAACUGCCAGUCUGGAGUACGGUAGAGGACCAUGGAAUUCCAGGUGUAGCGGUGGAAUGCGUAGAGAUCUGGAGGAAUACCGGUGGCGAAGGCGGCAUCCUGGACCGGCAUUGACGCGUGAUGCGCGAAAGCC
rnacentral:rRNA from 1 species